GUCGAGGGGCAGCAUGGUCUUAGCUUGCUAAGGCCGAUGGCGACCGGCGCACGGGUGAGUAACACGUAUCCAACCUGCCGUCUACUCUUGGACAGCCUUCUGAAAGGAAGAUUAAUACAAGAUGGCAUCAUGAGUCCGCAUGUUCACAUGAUUAAAGGUAUUCCGGUAGACGAUGGGGAUGCGUUCCAUUAGAUAGUAGGCGGGGUAACGGCCCACCUAGUCUUCGAUGGAUAGGGGUUCUGAGAGGAAGGUCCCCCACAUUGGAACUGAGACACGGUCCAAACUCCUACGGGAGGCAGCAGUGAGGAAUAUUGGUCAAUGGGCGAGAGCCUGAACCAGCCAAGUAGCGUGAAGGAUGACUGCCCUAUGGGUUGUAAACUUCUUUUAUAAAGGAAUAAAGUCGGGUAUGGAUACCCGUUUGCAUGUACUUUAUGAAUAAGGAUCGGCUAACUCCGUGCCAGCAGCCGCGGUAAUACGGAGGAUCCGAGCGUUAUCCGGAUUUAUUGGGUUUAAAGGGAGCGUAGAUGGAUGUUUAAGUCAGUUGUGAAAGUUUGCGGCUCAACCGUAAAAUUGCAGUUGAUACUGGAUAUCUUGAGUGCAGUUGAGGCAGGCGGAAUUCGUGGUGUAGCGGUGAAAUGCUUAGAUAUCACGAAGAACUCCGAUUGCGAAGGCAGCCUGCUAAGCUGCAACUGACAUUGAGGCUCGAAAGUGUGGGUAUCAAACAGGAUUAGAUACCCUGGUAGUCCACACGGUAAACGAUGAAUACUCGCUGUUUGCGAUAUACUGCAAGCGGCCAAGCGAAAGCGUUAAGUAUUCCACCUGGGGAGUACGCCGGCAACGGUGAAACUCAAAGGAAUUGACGGGGGCCCGCACAAGCGGAGGAACAUGUGGUUUAUUCGAUGAUACGCGAGGAACCUUACCCGGGCUUAAUUGCAGAUGAAUUACGGUGAAAGCCGUAAGCCGCAAGGCAUCUGUGAAGGUGCUGCAUGGUUGU
rnacentral:rRNA from 1 species